rnacentral:rRNA from 1 species
AACGAACGCUGGCGGCAGGCCUAACACAUGCAAGUCGAACGCCCCGCAAGGGGAGUGGCAGACGGGUGAGUAACGCGUGGGAACCUUCCCAGUGGUAUGGGAUAACUCAGGGAAACCUGAGCUAAUACCGUAUACGCCCGAAAGGGGAAAGAUUUAUCGCCAUUGGAUGGGCCCGCGUCGGAUUAGCUAGUUGGUGAGGUAACGGCUCACCAAGGCGACGAUCCGUAGCUGGUCUGAGAGGAUGAUCAGCCACACUGGGACUGAGACACGGCCCAGACUCCUACGGGAGGCAGCAGUGGGGAAUAUUGGACAAUGGGGGCAACCCUGAUCCAGCCAUGCCGCGUGAGUGAAGAAGGUCUUCGGAUUGUAAAGCUCUUUUGGCGGGGACGAUAAUGACGGUACCCGCAGAAUAAGCCCCGGCUAACUUCGUGCCAGCAGCCGCCGUAAUAC